AACCCUAGCGUAUCGAGAGCCUCCUCUCCUCUCCCAAUCCCCUGCCCCGUCUCCUCUCAUUCUCCCCCAAUCCGCCGCCUCCUCUCGUUUCCUCUCCCCCGCUCGGAAGCAGCACACCGCACCCCACGGCGCCGGCUGGACGGGGUGGCGGCGGCGGCACGCCGGACGCGGCGUCUGGACACGCGGUGGUGGCGGAGGCUCGUCGGACGGCCGGACGCGGUGGCGACGACGGAGGCUCGCCAGCCGGCCGAACGCAGCGACGAGGAAGACGCUUUGCAGUUGGAUGCGGCGGGGGUGACUGGACGCGGCGGAGCGGCAACAUGGGCUACAGGGAACGGUGGUGGAGGACGGCACGCCCGCGGCCUCCUCUCCUCUCACAGGUCGCCCUAGGCGCUGGUGGUUGUGCGCGCGCGCGUGUGUAGAGUGUGGCGGCAGCGAGCAUGAGCGGGUGAGGCGGCUGGAUGGAGGUCUUCGGGAGGUUGGACCUAGCGGGGAAGGACAACUCCCCUCUAGGGCGGCUGCUGGGAUGAGAGGAUGCAGGAAGAGGGAGAGAAGGGGUGGGAUCGGCCUUCCCGCCCCUGAGCGACACCGGCGGCCAACCACGUCGAGCUAGCGUUUGGGUGUCCUGAAGAUUCACCGACAGCAUCAAGCCAAUAACACACAUCAUUGGCUUUCAUGGACUCCAUGGCUGUUAUUUGUCUUGCUUCAACGUUUAUUCCCUUCUCUUCCCGUGCAAUCUGGUUGAUCUGUUCGUCUGUUGCUUGCUUCAUUGGGAUAUUUAUUGUUGCCUUUUCUGCUCUCGGAAUAGAGGCCAUAUAAUAAAAGGCGAAGAGCGGCGGUAAGCCAUGCCUACGACCGUGCUCAUGGUAGUAACCCAGAUCCCAACAAUUCAUGUUUACGGAUGUUCUCGGCCAGAGUUGGGCUUCCUUGUCGACGACUUGCCAUCUCGAGCACCUCUGCAGGUUAAUUGUGAAGAUAUGAGACUUCAGGAAAUAACCUUCAUAUUAGGUCUGGAACUUUAGGCUACAUCCCCAACUUAGUGUUAAGCCAGGCUUUGGAUGUCCAGGAGUUUCUUACACCACAACAUUAGUGUUCGUGGAGUCCAUUGUUGUUGCAGAGGACAUGAGAUCAAACUGGUUCUUUGGGAUGAUCGUGCAGCCUUCUUUGUUGGACCAUUCCCUGAGAUGGUAAAAGGUAUUUUGAGUAAUGGAAAUUAUUAUACUUGGAUUGUAAGUGUGAUGCGAUUUUUCUUUUAAACUAAACCAACCAUGAUUCGGUUUGGGCACAGAGUGCAUGACUGUUUUAGAGUAAGCUAACCUUGACUGUUUUAAAGUAAAUGGCAUAUUUUGAAUGAUUUCUUUUAUUCGAGCUUUGUUGACCACUAUUCUUUAUGUUAUGACAUUUUUUAUUUAUGCUUCGGAGCUAAUGCAACUAUGUGACCAAUCAUGUAUUUAUAAAGGUUUGCCACUUCUUUAUUUUGGUUCGACUUCUUUUAACUAUUUUGUUGUGUAUUCAAGUUUUUGCGGUUGUCACUACAACAUAAUAAUGAUCCAUGUUAAUCACCAAUGAGAACUAUAUGUGCAUGAAGUUAUUUAUUUAAUCUAGGAGGCCAAUAUAAUUUUGUAUCAAAAAAUAUGUUUAUACCAGCUUGCUAACCUGCAAUUUUUGCUAUAGUCGUGUAGCGGGUGGCGGAUUUCGAGCGAGCAACGACGACCUUGCGUGGGCACAGAGGCCAUGGUGAGCGAUGCGGAAAAGCUCGAUUUCGAGCGGAUCCGAGGAGAGAGGAAAAGCGCAAAUGCCUACGGGAGGAAGAGCAGCGCGGCUGACCGGGAACCGUUCAGUUGAUUGCAAUUAUGGUGCUGCACAGCACCCAGGCAGGCUGUCAAAGGCUGCCCCUUCUUUCUCUAUUUUAGCAACUGCAGUACCUGGUUUACACACUUCUUGCUUGGUAUUGUUUCCCUUCCACCAAUCUAUUUUUCUAAUUUGAUUAUAAAUCAUGCAGAUGGAUGCUACUAAUCAGGGAGUAGGUUGCAGCUCACUCAAAACAAUUCGGUGGUAAGCUUCUGUAAUUUUAUUCGGAGAAGAACAAUAAUAGUUAUACCAUCAUAUUGGCUCAUCAGCUUGGAGACAAUUUUGUUGGGUGAAAUUCUGCGAAUGCAGCAAUUUUCUUGUAUGUGCAAAAUUUAUUAUGGGUGCUUGUGUACUGAUGUUUCAAGUUCAUUCAUACAUUUAUGGAAAAGAAAAAUACAGUAUUGCAUUUUAAAAGAAAAACGAAUAAUGCAAAUAUCAAUAGCGGUGAAUUAAGGGUAAUCUGUAAUUACCUUGAUAAUAUAUCUGAACUCAUAUAUAUAUAACAAUUCAUUUUAUAGGAAUUUGAGAAGAUUUGUGCAGAGGGCCUCGUCAUCAUUUCAUGGUCGAGCUCUCAACAACUGUUACAUGUGGCCUUGGUCUGCUUGGUCUGCAAAGUGUGUGCACUUUCACAGCAACAGGGAGCGGAGCAUAAGCUUCUGCGGGCAGCAAGCCUGCAGUGUUUACCAGUAAUGAUCUGGUUUAUGAAGGAACAUUCAUACAUAUUUACUGAGUUUGAUGAUUGCAACAAGUUUUACAUGUGGCCUUGCACAAAUUGGCACUGUUGGAAGUGGCCAAAAGAAUGCCUGUAUACGGAUCUGCUUCUGGUGACCCCUUGCGGUUUAAAAGAGCUGUGGGCCAUAAGGAUCUCUUCUAUAUCGAUGACAGGGAGGUCGACUUCAAAGAGGCUAGGACAUUUUAAUUCAUGUAUGAAUCAGAUAAAUUUACACUUACUUUAUUUUGAUAAUGAAUUGGAAAUAUGUCUACCACAUGCAGAUUAUUGAAGCUCAUCUACCGAAAACUCCUCUCGACACAUCAGCUGUAGCUCACUGGCUAGCUAUUGAGGGCAUCCUCCAGCCUGCAAUUCUCUCAUGCUUCGGAUCAUUUAGCUUCCCUUGGUUUCCCCAUGUUCAUUGGAAAUCUCCUCUCGCUGAUAUUAUUUUUUCUGUCGGCUUUCUCACCUAUCUGUUCUCGGUGGAAUUUACUAUAUUAUAUGAACUCUCUUUUGUUGAUUUUUUUAAUUUGUUACCACUCCCUGAUCUUACUGCAAGCAGCUAUUUGAUGCUGAAUAGCACAUAGUUUGGUAAAACACUGGGAUGACCUUUUAUUGAUUAUUAUCUUGUCCCACUUAAAGGUUUCUUAGCUAUUGGGGUUCUUUGUUGGUUCACUGUGAAAAGAAACAAUGUAUGAUUUAUGACAUAAUAUCCAAAAUAACCAGCUUAGUGAAACAUAAUGAAGAUCCUAAGGGAAGAAAGGAAACUAUGCACAAAGAAAUUAGCCCAGGUGCUAUAGGUUUGUAAAGUAUUAGUAGCUUAUGCGGGAUAGCUGCGGUUUGUUGACUGGGAACAAGAGCCUCGGUGUUAGUAAUGUUGUUACUUAAGAUAGGAAAUAAUAGCUUUAAAAAUUAUCCCAAUCAAUACGUUUAAAGUAGUAGCAGCUUAUACAGAUAGUUGCAACAUGUGCCUACCUAUUUUUCUUCUUCACUUCUUGCUAUAUAGAUUCUAUAUUUUCCUUACAAUGGCUGGGCUAUUUACAUGUUAUUUUUUGUGUGCUGUUGUGGUGCCUAAUUACUAUUCUCGCACUUCUUUCGCUUCUUCAUUUACAUCUCUUUAAUUAUCAUUAUAGUUUUGAAAUUAAAAUGGUUGACUCAAGCUGCAAAAAUCAAAAUAGUACUUUUAAGAUGGUGACUGCUAUCAUUUUGUACUGAUAUCAUGUUUACCUUGAAUUUUCCCCCAGCUAAUGUACACUGAUAAUAGUGUGGAUUAUUUCCAUUCUGUUAAUGAUGUAGUAUCAUAUUUCCCUGACAUCUGAUAAUAGUGUGGAUUAUUUCCACUCUGUUUUUUUGAACCUUUUAUUUUUCACAUGUCAAGGGCUAAAGAGUAAAGAAAGAAGUGACUUCAUAUUACUUUUAUUUCCACUCUGUUACUGAUUUAGUAUCAUAUUUCCCUGAGAUCUGAUAAUACAUCGUCCUGAUAAAAUGAUCAAUGCAUGGGCCUGAAAUUUCAGACAUGUGCCAAUAUUUUUGUAGUUGGAUGAUUUAUGUUGCACUUAGAUGGCGAUGAUUAAAUCAUUUGUUCUUAUUAUGUACCCAAUGUUCUUACUAUGCAUGUUUGUGACUUAAAAUCACCCGAGCAAGAUGAUAGGAUAUGCAGCAAUCAUACAAUUCAGGUUUGGAAAGAUUAGGAAUGAAAAUAGAAGGGGCCAUACACAUACAAGAUCAUUCAAAGCUGUGCUGAAUGAAAUCGUAAUCGGGAAGACAUUGAACUGAAAUCAUGUUCUUGUUUAGUUAUGCCAUAGAUUUGUUUGGUCUGAUUAUAGAUGACGCCCUUUAACUUGGCACUACCUAUUUAGAAGUGUUCACGGGAAGUUUCUUCCCUGCACGCUAUACGAUUAAAAAAUGAUCAAUUAGUUUACUUGUUUCUUGCUAUCAUUUUAAUUGAGGUGAUGCUUAAAUAAUCUGGGAUUUUUACGAUGGAUAGUGGUUUAUCUACAAAUCUAAUAGUUUGAUAGGCCUCUGCCCAUUAUGAUGAUAGGUUGCCUGAAAUGGUUCAAAUUUACAUCAAAUGAGGCAUACAUGAGGCUGUUUGAUGGGUUCCAAUGGUUCAUGUUGUCCUGCAUUAGGUUUCAUUGUGUUGGGAGGAGGUGCAGUGAUUUUGCCGCAGUUUUUUCUACCUAAAAUACUUCUUCAGCACCGUUAUUUCAUCAUGUUAAUGUCUUUGCAAUCUGAAUUUUGUACAGGUAGUGUCGAUCCUGGUUCUGGGAAUUGAUUUGGGCAACUUUUGAAGUUUGGUUCUCAUAUAUUGGUCCUGAAAGAUAUUUUUUUUGCAAGUGGCCAAUUGAUGUUACGCUUAUUUGAAAGCCAAGCCCGGUAUGUCUCGGGCUCUUCUUUUCUAUUCUGCAUUUCUUCAGAAAAAUAUAUUACUCUCUGGGCUUGAUGAUUUUGGUAACAAGUGUUUAAUAUGCUAGAAUUUGGUACAAAAUUAAAUUUUAGUGUGUUCUCCAGUAGUCGAGUAGCUGCUUGUCUGUUAUUUACUUCUUAUUUUAGUUUAUAGUUUUCUAUGCUUCAUUUUCCCGGUGAUGUGCAAGAAGUUUAAUUUAUGCCAGAACCUGUAUAUGAGUCCCUGCACAUCCAUUCUCAUUAAGAAAAUAAUAUUUACACUCUACUAUGUAUGCAUGAGCUACUAUUAUAGAGCUCUUAUUGCCAAACAGGUCCUUCAAUGUACACCAAGUGCACACCACUUGGCAUGCCAGCUAAUUUGUUGCUUUUAGGAUGUUACAUGUGCUGUAGGUGGCUUAAUACGGAUACAAAUAAUAUUCUUCCUUUUUACUCAUGAACAACAAGUACUCAGUUUUUCAGUGUGCCUGCAACCCAGUUCGGCAACAACAAGAGCACAUGGUAUUUGCUCUGUCAGUAUAUCACAAUUUAAUUAUGUUUGUAGGUGUGCUUGCUAUGCAAUAAUCAGAGCCGGAAUUAAUGAGUGGGGCUUUUAACAUGAUUCUGUGUUGCAUCUAGCUCCACAAGCCACCUUAAACAUCCUUUUAAGACCUGAUUGUGUAUGACUGAUUAUGCCAAGGUCUUUAAUCUACCUUUUGUUGACUCGAUAGAGGUUUUCUAGGAUACUCAAUCUCUGCAUGUGUUAUAUGCGUCGGCCAACUUUGUGUCCGCUGAUGACCGGUACCUCCGCGGCAUUAGCUAAUUUUUCUAGCGUACAGAUUUUAGUAGAAAAACGAAUGUUGUUAUGAAAGAUUUUUCAGACCAGAAAACACAUAAGAGCCCGCGAGAUCAAGGGGAACCAGUAUGCAUCUUGUUUGGAAUGCAUUUGGCCAGCUGCCAUGGAUGUGGUAUGUUGGCAUUACAAAAAUUUAUAUUUUCUUCAUGUUGGGUAGUGUGUUGUAUAACACCUCGGCUUGCUUAUUUCUUCAUGUUGUGUAGUGCUACAAAGGAAAAUGAUCAAUUAGUGUACUUGUUUCUUUCUGUCAUUUAAUUGAGGUGAUGCUUAAAUUAUCUGGCACUGUUUGAAAUACUACAGAAAUAGAUGCAUGUAUAUUUUCCUUUGCAGCCCUUGCAUUUAUGAUACACAACAUGUUGUAUUUUCUGUAGAUAAACCACCUUUAUUUGUCUACUUCACCAUUUGAUUUACACUUAUUCACAACACAGUACACUUGUUUACUUUACCAUGUGAUUUCCGGUGAGCUUCACACUCACAUCCAUAGUUGAUUCUGUUCCCUGUAGAAAAUUCAUAGUAGCUAUGCUUUGUUAUGUUAAUGGAUUUGACAAAGAUAAUGAUGACCCAAGCAUGUUUUAUUUCAUAGCUGUGGAAAUCUGAGCAAGGUGCAGUUCCCCUCCAAGUUACCCUCCAAGUGUGUAGCGUGUGAUUCGCCAUGUUGAGGAAUGCUGCAUUUACUUGCAUAUAAUCCUCCCCUUUUUUUGUAAAAUUAGAGCUUAAAUCAGCUAGCCAGUAGCAACUAAAUGCCCGGGUAGGUUGAGAUGUUGAUGGAGCUGAUAAGCUCUAUUACUUUGUGAAUUAAUGAUUGCUGGUAUCACUAGGAUAGUAGUUAAUGAAUCUUGAAAUCAUGUCUCGCCAUGCAUAAUUUUGCUGAUUGGUUGCUGUUUUGAGUACAAGAAAAUAAAGAUCCGGGGCACUGAAAGCAUCCUUAUAUGUAGUUGAACUGGAUGACCACUUCUGAUGUUGUUUUGCAAUCAUGAUAUGUUCAGAAUUACUAUUGGAAGGGUGGUGAUGAUGUCGCUCUCUAGACAGCCUGGCAGAAGAUUAAGCGGUCGAUUACCUGAAGUUGUUUUAUCGUGUAGCUUACUAAUAAUCUAAGACAUCUCUAUUGUUUGGUUCAUUGUAAUCUGGUAUACUGUUGCAGUAGAGCUUUAUGAUGACAUUAUUGUCACUUUACUUGCAAUAUAGUAUUAUUGAUGCUUAAAAUUUACAUUAUUUCUGGGUAUUUACUUGCUAUUCAUGUAAAUAAUGUACCUUCAAAAUACUUACUAUGAUCCAUAGUAGAUAUCGCUGAUUCACUCUAG